AACGAACGCUGGCGGCAGGCCUAACAUAUGCAAGUCGAGCGAAGCCUUCGGGCUUAGCGGCGGACGGGUGAGUAACGCGUGGGAACGUGCCCUUUGGUACGGAAUAGCCCCGGGAAACUGGGAGUAAUACCGUAUGUGGUCGAGAGACGAAAGAUUUAUCGCCAAAGGAUCGGACCGCGUUGGAUUAGGUAGUUGGUGGGGUAAUGGCCUACCAAGCCGACGAUGCAUAGCUGGUUUGAGAGGAUGAUCAGCCACACUGGGACUGAGACACGGCCCAGACUCCUACGGGAGGCAGCAGUGGGGAAUCUUAGACAAUGGGGGAAACCCUGAUCUAGCCAUGCCGCGUGAUCGAUGAAGGCCUUAGGGUUGUAAAGAUCUUUCAGUGGGGAAGAUAAUGACUGUACCCACAGAAGAAGCCCCGGCUAACUCCGUGCCAGCCGCCGCCGUAAAAC
rnacentral:rRNA from 1 species